rnacentral:tRNA from 1 species
AGCAUUUGAAUUCUUCUGGAUGGAUGUAUGGGCUUCGAACUCAUAAAUAACAAGUUCAAAUCUUGUCAAAUGCUU